ACACACAGCUAGCUCUUCAGGCCAGGCCCCCAGGGUUUCGUCCACCUCUCACCUUUGACGACGCGAAUGAAGAAUGAGGAGGUGCUGCGAUCGAACGACUGCGAGGAAACACACCCGCUCUCAUGGCAUUCCCAGUAAACUGAGAAGACGUGAUUAAACCUCAGGAUCUCCUACUAAUAGAGAAAUGUAUAACGAUUUAGCUACCAGAUCUGAAUACUGAAGGGUUGGUAGGGGACCAGAGAAUAGAGGAAGCAUUGUAGGUUCUAGAGUGGAGAAGGGACCAUCCAAAAUGGAGUUUGAAAGAGAAUUCUGGCCUUUGUGUUUAGAGUCUGGAAUUGUCAAGAGUCUGAAAGCACAGAAUAAGACUGCAGCUAGAGCAAUUUAGGCGCCAUAGUUUGUCAAAACAGAGACGGGAUCUCACUGUGUUGCCCAGGCUGGUCUCGAACUGCUGGACUCAAGUCAUCCUCCCAUCUUGGCCUCCCAAAGUGCUGGAAUUACAGUGGACAACCUUCAAUGCACUGGUACUUUGUACCCUGACCUCUACUGUGAUGAACACUCAACUUGGGCAAGGAAGUGAAAUUCUCCAAAGGCCCAGCACCUUAGCACCUGAGGCUGCUACCUGAGAAGUACGCACUGUUCUGGCUUCAUGGAGACCAUGCUCCAUUUCUGCUGUUGAAGUCUUUGAGAGACCAGGAUCAUGGGCUGAGUGCAACCUCCUCCCCAUGCCAUCUGCAGAGCCUGAAGAGGAAAACACAAAUACAAGUUGAGGCCAUCUCUUCCCCUAGGGCCUAACCUCUAAGCCUAGCAGCACAAACUCAGGAGCUGUUGUUUCAUUUAAUAAUAAAUAUGCAUCCUUGAAUUCAA
rnacentral:lncRNA from 1 species